AGAGUUUGAUCCUGGCUCAGGAUGAACGCUAGCGGCAGGCCUAAUACAUGCAAGUCGAACGGAUAUGAGGACUUCGGUUCUCAUGUUAGUGGCGCACGGGUGCGUAACGCGUAUGCAACCUACCUUUUACUGGGGGAUAGCCCGUCGAAAGACGGAUUAAUACCGCAUAACACUAUUUGAGGGCAUCUGAGGAUAGUGAAAGAUUUAUUGGUAAAAGAUGGGCAUGCGUGCCAUUAGCUAGUUGGUUGAGGUAACGGCUCACCAAGGCGACGAUGGCUAGGGGUUCUGAGAGGAUGAUCCCCCACACUGGUACUGAGAUACGGACCAGACUCCUACGGGAGGCAGCAGUAGGGAAUAUUGGGCAAUGGCGGAAACGCUGACCCAGCCAUGCCGCGUGCAGGAUGAAGGCCUUCUGGGUUGUAAACUGCUUUUAUCUAGGAAGAAACUACCCUUGCGAGGGGAACUGACGGUACUAGGUGAAUAAGCACCGGCUAACUCCGUGCCAGCAGCCGCGGUAAUACGGAGGGUGCAAGCGUUAUCCGGAUUCACUGGGUUUAAAGGGUGCGUAGGAGGGCAGGUAAGUCCGUGGUGAAAUCUCUGAGCUUAACUCAGAAACUGCCGUGGAUACUAUCUGUCUUGAAUCCCGUGGAGAUGAGCGGAAUAUGUCAUGUAGCGGUGAAAUGCUUAGAUAUGACAUAGAACACCAAUUGCGAAGGCAGCUCGUUACACGAAGAUUGACUCUGAGGCACGAAAGCGUGGGGAUCAAACAGGAUUAGAUACCCCAGUAGUCC
rnacentral:rRNA from 1 species